UGUCUCUAAUAUUUAUUUAUAACAGUGUCUUGAAUAUUUAUGUAUGACAGUAUCUUUUCUCCUCACAGGGAGUCAAGCUCUCAUCAGCAUUAUCACUUUGUUUCUCAGGCCUUGAAUUCCAGUGUAGAGGGGUCACAGGGAGCCGUGUUCUCCUCAGCAUCAUCACCUUGUUUCUCAGUGACUCAGAGCAGACAUGUUCCAACUAAGGCCUUCAUCCCACCGUAGGCGUCACAGCUGGCUGCAGAACGUCCAUCUUAAAAGAACAUGUGGCCAACAUGUGAAAGUCUAUAAGACUCCAAGGAUUUCCCUCCCCGGACGUUCACCCACUGUGAGACCAGUCGUGUAGGAUCAUGCUGCAGGCAGUAUUACAUUCACCACCGUGUCUCCGGACUCCAGUAUGUCACAUGUGCUCAGUGUGAACCUGCUGACAUCUGUGAAGGGGGCAGGCACAAGAGUUGGACCCGCUUGUUCUGGUGUUCUCUGGUGAAUGCUGGUUGAUCUGCAUGGUGCUCGGCUGUGACCACAGUUCCCACUAAAGGACACUGAGCCCUCGCGCCAGGCUCAGGACUCAGUUUCUUACAGUUUGAUCAGAAACAUGCAAAUGGGUAACCUGCUGGAGGUAAUUUCGUUGGGCUCUGGCAGUGCUCCUUCUGUUCCUUCUUCACAAAGGAGCAAAAACCAUUCCUGGUCCGAGUUCUGGGAAUCUGGGAAUCCACACCAUCCAUACCAUCUCAUGCCACCCACAGUAACAAGGACAUGAGCAUAUAUAAAUGAAUGUUUAGAGGUUCAUUGUUUCGAAUUUACUUUACAGGUUUUACUUUAUGUCAUAUGUUUUAUAUGUUUGUCUACAUGAUUUAAAUGUCUGCUGACUUAUAGAAAAUGUGCUGCUCAUACAUUAAUUUAUGAUC